UACAAUUCAUCAUAUUAGUCUCCGAAUUCAAAAUACUGAACAAAGUUAGAACAUUACAAGUCUCGAUACCGCGAGUAGCGAGUUUGUCUUCACAUUACAAGUCGAUAUCUAAACUACCAUCACAUAGAAGAGGGUUGCGGUCACGAUGAGCAUCAUCAUGAUGAAACUGAUCUUCAUCUGGUUCCUCCUCCGCUCCCUCCUCUCUCCCGCUG
rnacentral:lncRNA from 1 species